AUGGAUCUGAGAACGCUGUCUGGGCUUGGUGCCAAGUGCUGGUAUUUCACAGCAGCGACCGCCUCACAGACGGGCUGUGGGAAGCAGGAGGGAGACUCUCUUAGGGUGCCACUACUAUGGAGACACAGCUGGGCUGAACAAGAUUUGCUUCAAACGACAACAAGAGAGACAGAAAGUAUCUGGUUCAACCGCUGCCCAGGCAGGCAGGCACCAGAAGAGCUAGCAGCCAAUCCGGCCAUGCUCGAAGCCAGCUCUGCAGCUCAGCCAAUCAGUGACAUCACUGAUCUUUUGGAAUAUUACUGGGAUAACUGUCCAAAUGAAGUUCCAAGUACUCUAUACAAAUGGUUACUGAUCAUUAAAAUGGUUUUGUAAAGGAAUGACUCAGAAAUAACAGAGUUUGUUGCUGCUUCUGAGAUAAAGAAAACUCGAUGUCAACAUUUGAACAGAGAAAAAUACAGAAUAUGGAACACCAUUAUGUAUCCUUCUUGAAUUUCUUCUCUCUACACUCUACACAGGGUUUCCAGGUGAGCAGAAUGAUUCCCAUAACUUCAACUCUUACUAGUGGGAGUUUUCCUAAUUUUCAUAUUGAAGAAAAUGACUUCUUAUCUGAAUCAUAUAUUCCCUGCCCUCUAGUGGCUCUAACCAGUAUCUUAAAUCACAAAGUCAUAUCUCAACAUUUUCCUCCUCAAAUUAAUUGUUUUUCUUACACCUUCCAUCCGAGGUGCUGGCAUCAGAACGAACCAAUUUUCCAGCUCCUCCUUCACCACCUUCACCCAUAUCGGACUCCUCCUCAUAUGGCCUCCUAAAUAUUUCUUCAAACUGUCCUUCCUCUCCCUGUGUAGUCCCACUGCUCUGCUUUAGCACUCAUCAUCUCUCUUUUGAACUGCUACAAAACACUCUUAAUCUAUUUCUCCAUUUUAAGUCCUGCCUGAUCAUUCUACAAUGAAAUAAAAAUCUUAACGCAUUACCCCACACGUACCCUGAAAGCAUCAAUUGUGUAUAAUAGAAAUAGCAACUAGAGCACCAAUGCCAUGACUCCCUGGCAUCUAUGGAAAUUUUAUUAAGGAAAAUAUUCUAAUUUAGCAUAUCCUAAUAUUCAUACAGAAUCUUUUUGAAACAGAAAACAAGCCACACAGUUACAUCAUAAAAGCUUUGGCAAUAAGAGUAAAUUUGCUUGCUGUAACAAUUAGGACAACCCCCUUAGUACAACACAAGUUCAUCCAUGAUCUGGCCUUUGUCACAUUCUCCAGUUCAUCUCCAGCUACUCCCUGACUCAUAUUCUACGUAACACUUUUGUGAUUGUCAUUUCUUUCUAAUAUCAUGCUGUUCCUUCUUUCUGGGAUUUACUUGUACUGACUUCUACGUCUGGAGUCUUUUUCUUUACACCCCCAACUUUUUCCCAGUUCCAAUUCCAGUUAGUUCUUACCUGUCCCUGAAGAGCCAGCCUGGUCUGCACCCUCGUCCUGACUCCAAUGAGAGAUGAUAGAUUAGGAGACAUCCUAAUCCAUGUCCCUAUAAUAUUCUAUGCAUAUUUCCAUCAAUGUCUGUCAUUGCUGUUAUUGUUCUGUUAGCCCCUCUCCACUUAUGUGUCUAUAUAACCCAGUAGAUGAUAGGUGUCUUGAAACAGAAACACAGUUUUAUUAUUCUUUGCAGUCUGAGACAAACUUAAACAGUAACUAGCACCUAACCAAGCACUAUAUAAUAUGAAUCAAAGAUUUAGAAGUAUUACUGCAAAUGGGAAAAAAAAAUGGUAUAUAUGGGAAAGAUUUUCAUCUUUCUUUAAAGCAAAAGUCACCAACUUCUGAUGUGUCCUCUCCAGCCCAAUACUGUCCACUCUAAUUCACGUAAUUAAUUCAUGCUGCCAGGUUGCUAUGGGAAUUAGAGUUUUAGAUAUCUGUGUAAAUACCAGAAACAUGGAAUACAUUUUCCAUAAAAAUGUACAUUUAAAUGAUGACGGAGCUAAUGACUUCAGAGUAAACAAACAUUUUUUUUUUGAAAUUGCUUCCAAAUAUCUAAAUUCUGGGGGGUUGUCAUGAAUUAUUAUUAUACAUCAUACCUCAAAGCUAUAUACAUUUUACAUGCAUUUGUCUUAGCCCGUAUUUAAAAUAAUGCUUAUGACUUGAUUAUUUGUGCAAUGUAAGUACUACUUAUUCAUCUCAGAGACAUGUUUUACCUUCAUAUGGUUUCAGAACAUCUAAUAAAAUUGUUUCAAAAUAGUUUUUAUAACAAUUCAUACUUCUUUUCUGGUCUUUUUGGUCAUAAAAUGAGGACCUAUCUUUGCCUUCAGUUGAAAGGAAGUAUAAGACCUCUAUAUAGCCUAGAGAAAUUUUUUAUAAAAAUUCCCUUUGUAUACCACUGUAUUUUCAGAGUCCUUAAAAAUUUUUUCUUAAUCUUUUAUUUGUGUGAUUGUUAUAAAACCAAACAGAAGUAAUUACAUGAUAAUAUAGGUAUUUCCAUAUUGUCUGCCUCUGAAUUCUUGUUCAAGCUGUGUGUGUGUAUGUGUGUGCACAUUGUUUGAAAAGAAUGUGAGAAGAAAGGGGCAGAGGAAAAAGGGCUCAGUUUCAAAAUACAAAUGCUGCAUAAUUUGAUCCAAUAAUGCAUGAGCUUUUGAGCUGGAACUUAGGUGAGCUGGAUCUCAUAUUUUACAUGGAAUGUUUUGAGAAUCAUGAGACGGUAAUAGGAAGUGUUUCCCCUUGAUUCACGGAAACAUCAGUAAAUAGCACAACAUGGUUUUCUCUUUGGUGUCUGAAUAUAAUCUGGUGACUUGAGAUUUGGAAUGUGUUGAAAUAAAAUUGUUUUUCUGAAAAUAUGAAACAAUAUGUGCAUCGGCCAAUUCACAGAGAUGAAUGGGAGGCUCUCCAGAAGUAUAAUUAAAAAAUUGCGGAGAAAACGAUCUGUAUGACAAAUAGGAAGAGUUCCCUUUUUAUCCUUGUUUCGUGUUAGCCAAGUAAACCAACUUCACUUGUAGAAAAAUGGAGCAGGAAAAUCUGGCCAAGGAAAUGACUGAUCCCUGGCCUUAGUUAAGACUGUAUUUCAUGUGUAGGAGCACUGAUAGGAAUAGUUUCCUCUGAAUUAUGUUGCAGCUCUAUUCAUUUAUUCCCUAGAGUUUCCUGAGUCCUUACUCCAUGCUAGGCAUAAUGGUCUAAACACAGAAUUGACCCCACCUCAUACAGCUUACAGUUUAGUGGCAGAGAGAAACAGAUUAGUCAAUAUUCACAUAAAUGAAAGUAAAAUGUUCAUGGUUACAGUCACUAAGAAGAAGUAAACAGGGGAGUGGGGGAAGCCUGUCUGAGGACGUAAGACAUCACUUGACUUUGCAGGAUACAUAGAUGUUAAGGAGGCAAAAGGAAAAGGGAAGUGAGCUAUGCUGUAUCUUGUUUUAAAAAUUGUAUACAUUUUAUCGGAGUGUAGGUGAUUUACAAUGUUGUGGUAGUUUCAGGUGUACAGCAAAGUGAAUCAUCCAUACAUAUACAUGUAUGUAUGUAUAUAUAUGUAUAUAUUCUUUCUUUUUCAGAUUUUUUUCCCAUGUGGGCCAUCACAGAGUAUUGAAAACUUUUCCCCAGGCUAUGUAGCAGGUCCUUGUUACUAACGGAUUCCAGUAGUGUAUAUAUGCCAUUCCUACCCUCCCAGUCCACCCCUCCCCUCAGCCUUCCCCCUUUGGUAACCCUAAGUUUGGUUUCAAAAUCUUUGAGUCUGUUUCUGUUUCAGGAAUAAGUGCUUUGUCAUGAAGACGCACGUUCUCAGAAAAGGGUAAAAAACCACACCUAGAAAGCACACACGCUGACUUUCAACUGUUAUUGGUAUCUGAAGGGGGGUUGGGGGAAAAUGAAAUAUGUUGGGUAGAACUUCCACCACAAUAAGGUAUUUUUCUAGCUUUCAUUCUAAAUGGAACAGAUAAUAAAUAUUUUAGCAAAUAAAUGUAUAAAAUGGUGGGUAGUAGUAAAUUCUGUGAAAAAUAAAGCAAAACAAGAAGACAGAAAAGUUGGGAAGGACCUUUCUCAGCAGACCCCUGAAUGAAGAGACAUAAUGAAGAGACCCCUGUUUAAUUUUUUAUGAGCCAGAGGAAAAAAAUGAUUUUGGCAAAAUGGUAAUGCCUAUUUAAUCUGGGUUGGAUAUUUAGAGCUUUCUUAUAAUUUGAUACUUCUGUACAUUUCUAUUUUGAAGUAUUUUAAAAAUCAUUAUGUAAUGUAUAUGUUUUUCAUCUGUAGGAGGGAGGCUGAUGUCUCCAAGGUCCUGGAAGAAUCUAGGUUAGCACCAAUAGUAUGGUAGGAGUUCCAUGUGAGACAAGCCUGGAGAAGUGGGUGGGUGCUAAACAGCAGGAACUUGCAGACUGUUGAGAAUGUCAGUCUUUAUUCUAAGAGCAAUGGGACGACAUUGAAGGAGUUUAAGCAUGGGUGGGAGUGAUAGGAUUGGAUCUGUGUUUUAAAGAAUUUAAAGAUUUCUAUUUAGUCAAGAAACUUUAAGCUAGCCUUUACCAUUUUCCAGGCUCCAUGCUAAGUGUAUGGUGGUGAAAGCUCUUUACACUUACAGAACUUGAAGUCUAGAGAUGGGUGAACGUUUUGCUAUCGUCUAUAGAUGAACUCGCUGGCUAGAUAUUUUGGUAUCUCCUGCAAGCUGUUUGUUCUGCAGCUUCAACUUUGACAAAGAUUGGGAAAUCACCUUGAUUUGAAUGGCUUUGAGAAGUUUGGUCUUACACUAGGUUAUUUAUUGGGGAGAAAAAUUGAUUUUUGUGUAAUCAAGUAGUUUGUUAUAUACUAUUUUACCAGUUUUCUAUUUUAGUCAUGCAAGAUUUAUGAUCCUUUUUCAAAUUGAGUCUUCUAAUACUUCAAGGUCAAGAAAUCCUAGGCAUAGGGCAGAAGAACUGUGUGAGGGAGGGACCUGUUCUUUGCUAAAACAGAACAGAGGAAAAAUCACCCUUUUGAAGUGUCACUUGAGGAUCGGAACUUUACAGAUUUUGCCAAAAAGGGAAUUUAAACUUCAAGUAUAAGUGAUAAGUAAACUUUUUCGAUUUUGGAGGCAGUAUGUGUCUUCUGUCCAAGGCAGAUAUUCUAACUGAUUCACUACUGUUGAAAAUCCAGAAAAGUGAUAAAGAUGAACUCUUGAUGAAAAUAUAUAUGUACAUGGAAGGAUGACAAAUAAUUCAAAAAUUUGGUUUAAGAUCCUUUGAACAUUUGCCUCUGACCUUGGUAGUUCCCAAUGACUGACAUCAUUCCUCUGGUGUUUUAUCUUUUUCCACAAAAGUUAACUAAUAUACAUUUCAAAACAAAUGAGGUUCAUUGUUUGCCAUAGAGGGAGUAUUAGUGUUACUCAAACUUGGUCCUUGACCCCUUCUCUUAAAUUGUAUAAAAAACAGGGUUACAAAGUUACUCAAUCAUCUCAAG
rnacentral:lncRNA from 1 species